GGGCUACAAUGCAGAAAUCUUGUCACGUACAAUGUUUACACUGGCUGUAUACAUUUAAAUAUUUUUGCAAUCAGUACAAAUUGUAUGAUCUGUUAUUUCAGAUGAAUCCGGGUGGAGACAUUUGAGGAGAAGAUGGAUUAGCUGCUCAUGCUCUAAAGGAGCUCCAUGGCACCUCCCUCUGCUCCAAAUCACAGCGUGCCAUUUGCCCAACAGCAGCUGGGACAAAUAUCCAGUUUAAAAAAUAUGGCUGUGUACAGAUUCCUACGCCAAAGCUGUGGACCGGUGUCGGCGGCUGAGGGAUACUUCCAGCAUCCAGACAGAAGAUGAAGCAAGUGUCCAAAAAAGGCAGCGCCGACGCCCAAGGAGGUUCAUGACAGAUUCUUCAAGCGAUGAUGAAUCUGUUGCACGACCAGAUAAACUGUCCAGGAUGGAGCGUGCGUCUGGAAGCCCUGUCUCUCAGCAGAUAAUACUUCCUCCACCACCUGCAUUUAAGUUUUUUAAUAUAUAUUUUGUCUAAUAUAAAAGAAUAGGUUCAUAGAUUCAUGUGCAGGCAACCUAUCAACUUCAUCUUAUAUAAUAAUCAUAUACAAUUUAUUUAUUAUAUGUAUCAACGCCAUGCAGGAAACCAGCUGGUUGCCCAGAGCAGGAUGAGUCUUUAGUGACCCUACCACGGACUACCACUUCAUCUUGGGACCCAGUUGAAGAAGAACUCACACAGAGGGAGGUGGCUCAGACAUGGAGAUCAAAAUGAGAGCAACUUUUCCUGUCGACCCUCGGUGGUUGUACUGGAAGUGAUGCCAUCCGCCGCAUGCUGCGGCAAGAUGCAACGAAUGAUGUCCUGAGACAGUACAGCUUGCACUGAAGAAAAACAAAGAGAGCCUUCCAGGACCUGGCUGUAUGCAUGGUUAUAACAG